rnacentral:tRNA from 1 species
CCGACGACAGCUCAGUUGGUAGAUUGGAUGACUGUAGUGCGUGCACUUGAGCAGUGAUCCUUAGGUCGGUGGUUCAAAUCCGCCUCGUCGGA